CUCCCCACCAUGGUGAUAAUGGACUGAAUUCUGAAACUGUGUCCAGGAGACCUGUCCCCGUAAGCUGUCCCAGCACGCCACACAGUUCCAGCUGGCCAACCAAGCUGAGGGCAUGAACUAGGUGCUCUGAGCACGAGACCCUCAUGAGUUCCUGACGGCAGGGGUGUGGAUUCUGGUGGGCUUUACAGCUGGAAAUCUCAACAGCUGGGGCGUGGCUAUCAGUUAAGGAUCCCUAUAUAAGCUUCCCUGGAGCACAAUAAAGUUGGCAUUCUUGU